GGUGAUGGAGAAGAAAAUCGUUUAUACCCCGAAGUGGAGACUGGAGAUGGCAGAUCGGAAAGACACCCAGAAGAAAAGAAUGGCUGUCUUUGCCAUGAGUUCUCCCUCUCCAGUCCUGCCUUCGUUUUGUGUUUCGUUACCUUCAUCAACUAAGGCUUUUGCUACUUUUCCAGUUUCCAGGUUGCACUUGAAAUCCAUCUAUGUGCUCUCGAAAUCCUUCGGUGGAAUUUCCUUUGCGACAGUGAGAAGUGGUACGAUGACUGUUAAGGCAUCAAUGGAUAUUAGGGGGACAGGUCCGGACGCUGGGGAGUCUGUGUCAGAAAGUGAUGAUGAAGAGAAUUUGCUGUUUGAGAAACUUCCUCUUGAUGCAAAGCUACAACAGAAGCUCGAGCAGAAGUUUAGGAUGAAAUUGGCAAAGAAGAUAAGGCUUCGGAGAAAGAAACUUGUUCGUAAGCGGAGGAUGAGGAAAAAGGGACAAUGGCCUCCUUCAAAGGCAAACAAGGUGAAGAAUGUCUGAUUUCGUGUCCUCUUGUAGGUAUACUGCUGGCCCUUUUGCACCUAAUUCCAUAUAUUUCAAUUAUGCAAGUUUUAAUGUGUUAUUUUGUUGAUGAAUAUUCCUAGUUCCUACAUUGUUCUGAAGUAAAUUCCUGAAGCUCUGCAAGUUUAAUGCAGGGUUUCCCUGGAUAAUUCGAGACGAAGUGCUUGGAUGUGGUGAGUUUCAAGUGGCAAAAGAGUUAGAUUAGGAACUAUAGUGUUAGAAUGAAUAGGUGGUAACUAAACUGUAUGUACUGUGCUUAAGUGUUAUACGCCUGAAACAACUGCUGCUAAAUCACAUAAAAGAUGGAUUUGUGAUAGGCUGAUAUACAACUAAAGAUUAUAGUCAAUGUUGCUUGAUGGGUUCAAAUGGAACCAUCCAUUACCACUUGGGAUUAAAAUGUAGAUGAGUUAAAGUUUAGUUGGUGGAUUGAUAGAGGGGGAAUGAUCUAGUCAUUUUCAAAAUUAGUACAGGAAACUUUGAAAAGAUGAGAAUGCUGACAUUUGAACUACUAGAAGCUUGAUGGUCUUUGGCAAUCCAUUUCAGGGAUUACAUACAUGAAAUUAGCAACCUCUUGGGCUUGUUGGGAACACAUAUGAAAAUUAAAAUUUUGAACUUUUCAGUGAACCUGGUGCUCUGUCCUUGAUGCACUUUGUGGUAUUUCUUUGGUGAGUCAGUCUCUAUUGAAGAAGCAUAACUUCAAGUGGGGAAUUACACUAAGAAUUCAUUCUUCAUAAAUUGAUGCCAUAAUUUUUUUGUAUUGUCCAAAUUGUCAAUAAAGUUAAAGGUUCAAUUGGUCAAAGAUUUGAUGGCUUGUGUAUUUAAAUUGUAAAUAAUAUCUAUUAAGAGGCAGUUUGGAAAUUUAUGCAAUGACCAAUGUUUUUGGUUCCAUUAAUGUAGGAAGAAGCUGAGGGGAUUCUAACGGUUAUUAUGCAAGUUUUACUUUAGAUUGGUGUUGAGAAUUAAUUGCCUGUUCUAGCCCAUCCCUUUUGGUGCCAUGAAUUUGAUAAAAUUUUCAAGUUUAAAUGGACAGGGACUAUGAACUGGAUAACUCAUCUUUGGGAAUUAUUGUUUUGCUUGCACCACCCCUUUACUAUAGCAUGAAAUUAUCAAGUUUCUUGUAAUCCAAAAACAAAACACAAAAUGCCGAUAGUUUCUUUGAUUUUUCAAAUUUAAAUAAUCAGGAGACCUGGAGUUGUUGUCUAGAUAAGUAAAAAUCACAUAACUGAUGAUGAUAAUCUUAGUUAGGAAGUUAAUUAGGCCUUAAUUAGUAGUGUUGUUUAGAUGUUCUUUAUGUAGGAAAAUAGCAGAAUUUUAUCUUUUUGGAAACUAGGGAUAUUUUUUCAAUUUCCAAAUCUUCUUCAAAUGUUGUGUAGAUGUUUUCAGGAAUCUCUAGUUUUAAUUUGAAGCCUUUGUUAUUGUUAUUAUUGAUUUAGGAUAAUAUUAUUUCUUAUAGAUUCGUAUUCUAAGAUAUGUCUUAUGGAUAGUGUUAGAACAAAAUG
rnacentral:misc_RNA from 1 species